rnacentral:rRNA from 1 species
ACCAGAAAUCGCUUUUCUUCCAGUCGACGAACUUCUGGUAUUGAUUGGUGCUUGCAUCAUGAUUUACAUCUUGAGUGAGUGGCGAACUGGUGAGUAACACGUGGGAAACCUGCCCAGAAGCGGGGGAUAACACCUGGAAACAGAUGCUAAUACCGCAUAACAACUUGGACCGCAUGGUCCGAGUUUGAAAGAUGGCUUCGGCUAUCACUUUUGGAUGGUCCCGCGGCGUAUUAGCUAGAUGGUGGGGUAACGGCUCACCAUGGCAAUGAUACGUAGCCGACCUGAGAGGGUAAUCGGCCACAUUGGGACUGAGACACGGCCCAAACUCCUACGGGAGGCAGCAGUAGGGAAUCUUCCACAAUGGACGAAAGUCUGAUGGAGCAACGCCGCGUGAGUGAAGAAGGGUUUCGGCUCGUAAAACUCUGUUGUUAAAGAAGAACAUAUCUGAGAGUAACUGUUCAGGUAUUGACGGUAUUUAACCAGAAAGCCACGGCUAACUACGUGCCAGCAGCCGCGGUAAUACGUAGGUGGCAAGCGUUGUCCGGAUUUAUUGGGCGUAAAGCGAGCGCAGGCGGUUUUUUAAGUCUGAUGUGAAAGCCUUCGGCUCAACCGAAGAAGUGCAUCGGAAACUGGGAAACUUGAGUGCAGAAGAGGACAGUGGAACUCCAUGUGUAGCGGUGAAAUGCGUAGAUAUAUGGAAGAACACCAGUGGCGAAGGCGGCUGUCUGGUCUGUAACUGACGCUGAGGCUCGAAAGUAUGGGUAGCAAACAGGAUUAGAUACCCUGGUAGUCCAUACCGUAAACGAUGAAUGCUAAGUGUUGGAGGGUUUCCGCCCUUCAGUGCUGCAGCUAACGCAUUAAGCAUUCCGCCUGGGGAGUACGGCCGCAAGGCUGAAACUCAAAGGAAUUGACGGGGGGCCCGCACAAGCGGUGGAGCAUGUGGUUUAAUUCGAAGCUACGCGAAGAACCCUUACCAGGUCUUGACAUACUAUGCAAAUCUAAGAGAUUAGACGUUCCCGUUCGGGGACAUGUAUACAGGGUGGUGCAUGGAUUGUCGUCAGCUCGUGUCGUGAGAUGGUUGGGUUAAGUCCCGGCACCGAGCCGCCACCCGUUAAUUAAUCAGCUGCAGCCAUCAGUGGCACUCUGGUGAGACUGCGCGACCAACGGGAAGCAAGGUGGGGGAUUGAACCGGUUCC